GAUGAACGCUGGCGGCGUGCCUAAUACAUGCAAGUCGAGCGAACGGACGAGAAGCUUGCUUCUCUGAUGUUAGCGGCGGACGGGUGAGUAACACGUGGAUAACCUACCUAUAAGACUGGGAUAACUUCGUGAAACCGUAGCUAAUACCGGAUAAUAUUUUGAACCGCAUGGUUCGAAAGUGAAAGACGGUCUUGCUGUCACUUAUAGAUGGAUCCGCGCUGCAUUAGCUAGUUGGUAAGGUAACGGCUUACCAAGGCAACGAUGCAUAGCCGACCUGAGAGGGUGAUCGGCCACACUGGAACUGAGACACGGUCCAGACUCCUACGGGAGGCAGCAGUAGGGAAUCUUCCGCAAUGGGCGAAAGCCUGACGGAGCAACGCCGCGUGAGUGAUGAAGGUCUUCGGAUCGUAAAACUCUGUUAUUAGGGAAGAACAUAUGUGUAAGUAACUGUGCACAUCUUGACGGUACCUAAUCAGAAAGCCACGGCUAACUACGUG
rnacentral:rRNA from 1 species